rnacentral:rRNA from 1 species
UACAGAGGGCCCGAGCGUUAAUCGGAAUCACUGGGCUUAAAGCGUACGUAGGCGGACUUGUAGGCAUCUUGUGAAAUCCCUCGGCUCAACCGGGGAAUUGCAGGGUGAACCACAAGUCUUGAGGCGAGUAGAGGCGGUCGGAACGAUAGGUGGAGCGGUGAAAUGCGUAGAUAUCUAUCGGAACGCCAAAGGUGAAGACAGGCCGCUGGGCUCGUCCUGACGCUGAGGUACGAAAGCGUGGGUAGCGAACGGG